rnacentral:rRNA from 1 species
UACAGAGGUCCCGAGCGUUGUUCGGAUUCAUUGGGCGUAAAGGGUGCGUAGGCGGCGGGGCAAGUCUGAUGUGAAAUCCUGGGGCUCAACCUCAGAACUGCAUUGGAUACUGCCCUGCUAGAGUACUGGAGAGGAGACUGGAAUUCAUGGUGUAGCAGUGAAAUGCGUAGAGAUCAUGAGGAAGACCAGUGGCGAAGGCGGCAUCCUGGACCGACACUGACGCUGAGGAGCGAAAGCCAGGGGAGCAAACGGG